rnacentral:lncRNA from 1 species
CUUUUGGCAAAACAGUUCAAUUAAUGAAGUUCCAACUCUGCAACUCCCAAAGGGCUACAGCUGGUGUGGCUCCAAUAACUUCAAAGCUACAAAGAAUGUCAGGUGGAGAUUUUGGAGAAGGAUGUGGCGGAAUGUGUGUUUGAGAAGGAGAGCCAAAGUAGCUGUAUAUGGUUCUAGCUGCCCAUGACCUACGGCUGUGGUCUCUCACCGUUCU